UGGGGAAUAUUGGUCAAUGGGCGAGAGCCUGAACCAGCCAUGCCGCGUGCAGGAAGACGGCCCUAUGGGUUGUAAACUGCUUUUAUGUGAGGAUAAACCUAUUCUUUCGAGAGUAGCUGAAGGUAUCACAUGAAUAAGGAUCGGCUAACUCCGUGCCAGCAGCCGCGGUAAUACGGAGGAUUCGAGCGUUAUCCGGAUUUAUUGGGUUUAAAGGGUGCGUAGGCGGACCAAUAAGUCAGUGGUGAAAUACAUCAGCUUAACUGAAGCACUGCCAUUGAUACUGUUGGACUAUAAUAUAAAUGGUGCAGGCGGAAUGAAUAAAGUAGAGGUGACAUUCAUAGAUAUGAUUGAGAAGACCGAUCGCGAAGGUGGCUUGCAGAGAUAUUAUUGAGGCUGAUGCACGAAAGCGUGGGUAGCGAACA
rnacentral:rRNA from 1 species